AGAGUUUGAUCCUGGCUCAGAUUGAACGCUGGCGGUAUGCUUAACACAUGCAAGUCGAACGGAAACGAUGUUAGCUUGCUAACAGGCGUCGAGUGGCGGACGGGUGAGUAACGCGUAGGAAUCUGCCAAGUAGUGGGGGAUAGCCCGGAGAAAUCCGGAUUAAUACCGCAUAAUCUCUACGGAGUAAAGAGGGCCUCUAUUUAUAAGCUUUCGCUAUUUGAUGAGCCUGCGUAAGAUUAGCUUGUUGGUGAGGUAAAAGCUCACCAAGGCGACGAUCUUUAGCUGGUCUGAGAGGAUGAUCAGCCACACUGGGACUGAGACACGGCCCAGACUCCUACGGGAGGCAGCAGUGGGGAAUAUUGCACAAUGGAGGAAACUCUGAUGCAGCAACGCCGCGUGGAGGAUGACGCAUUUCGGUGUGUAAACUCCUUUUAUAUGGGAAGAUAAUGACGGUACCAUAUGAAUAAGCACCGGCUAACUCCGUGCCAGCAGCCGCGGUAAUACGGAGGGUGCAAGCGUUACUCGGAAUCACUGGGCGUAAAGCGCGCGCAGGCGGCUAUUUAAGUUGGAUGUGAAAGCCUACGGCUCAACCGUAGAACUGCAUCCAAAACUAUUUAGCUAGAGUGUGGGAGAGGAAGAUGGAAUUAGUUGUGUAGGGGGUAAAAUCCGUAGAGAUAACUAGGAAUACCAAAAGCGAAGGCAAUCUUCUGGAACACUACUGACGCUGAGGCGCGAAAGCGUGGGGAGCAAACAGGAUUAGAUACCCUGGUAGUCCACGCAGUAAACGAUGAAUGUUAGUCGUCGGGUAGCUAGUCUAUUCGGUGAUGCAGCUAACGCAUUAAACAUUCCGCCUGGGGAGUACGGUCGCAAGAUUAAAACUCAAAGGAAUAGACGGGGACCCGCACAAGUGGUGGAGCAUGUGGUUUAAUUCGAAGAUACGCGAAGAACCUUACCUAGCCUUGACAUAUUUUAGAACACUUUAGAGAUAGAGUGGUGCCUUCGGGAGCUAAUUUACAGGUGCUGCACGGCUGUCGUCAGCUCGUGUCGUGAGAUGUUGGGUUAAGUCCCGCAACGAGCGCAACCCUCGUCACUAGUUACUAACGGUUCGGCCGAGGACUCUAGUGAGACUGCCUUCGUAAGGAGGAGGAAGGUGAGGACGACGUCAAGUCAUCAUGGCCCUUACGGCUAGGGCAACACACGUGCUACAAUGGUUGGGACAAUGAGACGCAAUACCGCGAGGUGGAGCAAAUCUAUAAACCCAAUCUCAGUUCGGAUUGUUCUCUGCAACUCGAGAACAUGAAGCUGGAAUCACUAGUAAUCGUAGAUCAGCUAUGCUACGGUGAAUACGUUCCCGGGUCUUGUACUCACCGCCCGUCACACCAUGGGAGUUGAUUUCACCCGAAGCGGGGAAGCUAAACUGGCUACCCUCCACGGUGGAAUUAGCGACUGGGGUGAAGUCGUAACAAGGUAACC
rnacentral:rRNA from 1 species